rnacentral:rRNA from 1 species
UGAACGCUAGCGGCAGGCCUAAUACAUGCAAGUCGAACGGUAAAUGCCCCUUCGGGGGCAUGAGAGUGGCGCACGGGUGCGUAACGCGUAUGCAACCCACCCGCUGUCGGGGGAUAGCCCGGAGAAAUUCGAAUUAAUACCCCAUGAGGAGUGUUUGAGGCAUCUCAGGCAUUUCAAAACUAAGGUGACGGCGGACGGGCAUGCGUGCCAUUAGAUAGUUGGCGGGGUAACGGCCCACCAAGUCGACGAUGGCUAGGGGAUCUGAGAGGACGGUCCCCCACACUGGUACUGAGACACGGACCAGACUCCUACGGGAAGCAGCAGUAAGGGAUAUUGGUCAAUGGGGGGAACCCUGAACCAGCCAAUGCCGCGUGAGGGAAUAAGGCCCUACGGGUCGUAAACCUCUUUUGCCGGGGGAUAAGGACAGUUACGUGUAGCUGUUUGAAGGUACCCGGAGAAUAAGCAUCGGCUAACUCCGUGCCAGCAGCCGC